rnacentral:rRNA from 1 species
CCCUUAGAUGUUCUGGGCCGCACGCGCGCUACAAUGAUGAAUUCAACGAGUUUAUAACCUUGGUUGAAAAGCCUGGGUAAUCUUUUGAACUUUCGUCGUGAUGGGGCUAGACCCUUGCAAUUAUUGGUCUCCAACGAGGAAUUCCUAGUAAACGCAAGUCAUCAGCUUGCAUUGAUUACGUCCCUGCCCUUUGUACACACCGCCCGUCGCUCCUACCGAUUGAAUGUUCCGGUGAGCUCUUCGGACUGCGCGGUCUGCAGUUUCUGCGUUCCGUGCGGAAAGUUGCGCAAACCUUAACAUUUAGAGGAAGGAGAAGUCGUAACA